UACCAGGUCACUGUUUUUGAGG
rnacentral:miRNA from 1 species